AAUUAGGAAGGAAACAAGCGUUCAUUAUUUCCUAGUGUUUAGUUGAUAUCGUGGGACACGACGAGCUGCUGUGUCAGACUUGAGAUGGUGCAACUCCUGUACAUUAUUGUGCUGCGAAGGGUCAUGCUCUCACUCUGUCAUACAUCGUGGAGACGGUGGGUCAGGCAAGAGCGAUGAAAGCAGACUUGCAUGGUUGCACUCCAGCACACGAUGCUGCAGAUGGAGGGUGCAGGCCUUCAGAUAGAAAAUGUCAAGUUUUUCAAAAGUGCAACCAACAAGGAGGCAACGUUGGAACUUAUGCAGAGAGUGGUACAAUGUACAUUGUUUGUAGAAAUUUAUACAGAAUACAACACUUACAA